CCUACGGGAGGCUGCAGUGGGGAAUAUUGGACAAUGGGGGCAACCCUGAUACAGCCAUGCCGCGUGUGUGAAGAAGGCCCUCGGGUUGUAAAGCACUUUCAGUGAGGAAGAACGCCUGGUGGUUAAUACCCAUCAGGAAAGACAUCACUCACAGAAGAAGCACCGGCUAACUCCGUGCCAGCAGCCGCGGUAAUACGGAGGGUGCGAGCGUUAAUCGGAAUUACUGGGCGUAAAGCGCGCGUAGGUGGCUUGAUAAGCCGGUUGUGAAAGCCCCGGGCUCAACCUGGGAACGGCAUCCGGAACUGUCAAGCUAGAGUGCAGGAGAGGAAGGUAGAAAUCCCGGUGUAGCGGUGAAAUGCGUAGAGAUCGGGAGGAAUACCAGUGGCGAAGGCGGCCUUCUGGACUGACACUGACACUGAGGUGCGAAAGCGUGGGUAGCAAACAGGAUUAGAUACCCUGGUAGUC
rnacentral:rRNA from 1 species